CUGCAAAUAUUAUCAUUGUUCUGAUUUUGUAAUAAUUGGGGUAGGCUAAACAUUUGCAUGUGUCCAUGCAUGUGUAAGUAAGAUCACA
rnacentral:snoRNA from 1 species